AGCAGCCGCGGUAAUUCCAGCUCCAAUAGCGUAUAUUAAAGUUGUUGCAGUUAAAAAGCUCGUAGUUGAAUUUCGGGGUCAGUAGUUUGGUCGUGCCAAUGGUAUGUACUGGGCUCACUGAUUCCUCCUUCCUGAUGAACUGUAAUGCCAUUAAUUUGGUGUUGCAGGGAAACUGGACUGUUACUUUGAAAAAAUUAGAGUGUUUAAAGCAAGCUAACGCUUGAAUACAUUAGCAUGGAAUAAUGAAAUAGGACGUUCGAUCCUAUUUCGUUGGUUUCUAGGAUUGACGUAAUGAUUAAUAGGGAUAGUUGGGGGCAUUAGUAUUCAAUUGUCAGAGGUGAAAUUCUUGGAUUUAUUGAAGACUAACUACUGCGAAAGCAUUUGCCAAGGAUGUUUUCAUUAAUCAAGAACGAAAGUUAGGGGAUCGAAGACGAUCAGAUACCGUCGUAGUCUUAACCAUAAACUAUGCCGACUAGGGAUCGGAUGAUGUUAAUUUUUAAUGACUCAUUCGGCGCCCUAA
rnacentral:rRNA from 1 species